UUAAGCGACUAAGCGUACACGGUGGAUGCCCUGGCAGUCAGAGGCGAUGAAGGACGUGCUAAUCUGCGAAAAGCGUCGGUAAGGUGAUAUGAACCGUUAUAACCGGCGAUGUCCGAAUGGGGAAACCCAGUGUGAUUCGUCACACUAUCGUUAACUGAAUACAUAGGUUAACGAGGCGAACCGGGGGAACUGAAACAUCUAAGUACCCCGAGGAAAAGAAAUCAACCGAGAUUCCCCCAGUAGCGGCGAGCGAACGGGGAGCAGCCCAGAGUCUGAAUCAGCUUGUGUGUUAGUGGAACGGUCUGGAAAGUCCGACGGUACAGGGUGAUAGUCCCGUACACCAAAAUGCACAGGCUGUGAACUCGAAGAGUAGGGCGGGACACGUGGUAUCCUGUCUGAAUAUGGGGGGACCAUCCUCCAAGGCUAAAUACUCCUGACUGACCGAUAGUGAACCAGUACCGUGAGGGAAAGGCGAAAAGAACCCCGGCGAGGGGAGUGAAAAAGAACCUGAAACCGUGUACGUACAAGCAGUGGGAGCACCUUUAUGGUGUGACUGCGUACCUUUUGUAUAAUGGGUCAGCGACUUAUAUUCUGUAGCAAGGUUAACCGUAUAGGGGAGCCGCAGGGAAACCGAGUCUUAACUGGGCGUUAAGUUGCAGGGUAUAGACCCGAAACCCGGUGAUCUAGCCAUGGGCAGGUUGAAGGUUGGGUAACACUAACUGGAGGACCGAACCGACUAAUGUUGAAAAAUUAGCGGAUGACUUGUGGCUGGGGGUGAAAGGCCAAUCAAACCGGGAGAUAGCUGGUUCUCCCCGAAAGCUAUUUAGGUAGCGCCUCGUGAACUCAUCUUCGGGGGUAGAGCACUGUUUCGGCUAGGGGGUCAUCCCGACUUACCAACCCGAUGCAAACUACGAAUACCGAAGAAUGUUAUCACGGGAGACACACGGCGGGUGCUAACGUCCGUCGUGAAGAGGGAAACAACCCAGACCGCCAGCUAAGGUCCCAAAGUCAUGGUUAAGUGGGAAACGAUGUGGGAAGGCACAGACAGCCAGGAUGUUGGCUUAGAAGCAGCCAUCAUUUAAAGAAAGCGUAAUAGCUCACUGGUCGAGUCGGCCUGCGCGGAAGAUGUAACGGGGCUAAACCAUGCACCGAAGCUGCGGCAGCGACACUAUGUGUUGUUGGGUAGGGGAGCGUUCUGUAAGCCUGCGAAGGUGACCUGUGAGGGUUGCUGGAGGUAUCAGAAGUGCGAAUGCUGACAUAAGUAACGAUAAAGCGGGUGAAAAGCCCGCUCGCCGGAAGACCAAGGGUUCCUGUCCAACGUUAAUCGGGGCAGGGUGAGUCGACCCCUAAGGCGAGGCCGAAAGGCGUAGUCGAUGGGAAACAGGUUAAUAUUCCUGUACUUGGUGUUACUGCGAAGGGGGGACGGAGAAGGCUAUGUUAGCCGGGCGACGGUUGUCCCGGUUUAAGCAUGUAGGCUGAUUAUCCAGGCAAAUCCGGAUAAUCAAGGCUGAGGUGUGAUGACGAGGCACUACGGUGCUGAAGUAACAAAUGCCCUGCUUCCAGGAAAAGCCUCUAAGCAUCAGGUAACAUCAAAUCGUACCCCAAACCGACACAGGUGGUCAGGUAGAGAAUACCAAGGCGCUUGAGAGAACUCGGGUGAAGGAACUAGGCAAAAUGGUGCCGUAACUUCGGGAGAAGGCACGCUGGUGUGUAGGUGAAGUCCCUGCGGAUGGAGCUGAGACCAGUCGAAGAUACCAGCUGGCUGCAACUGUUUAUUAAAAACACAGCACUGUGCAAACACGAAAGUGGACGUAUACGGUGUGACGCCUGCCCGGUGCCGGAAGGUUAAUUGAUGGGGUUAUCCGUAAGGAGAAGCUCUUGAUCGAAGCCCCGGUAAACGGCGGCCGUAACUAUAACGGUCCUAAGGUAGCGAAAUUCCUUGUCGGGUAAGUUCCGACCUGCACGAAUGGCGUAAUGAUGGCCAGGCUGUCUCCACCCGAGACUCAGUGAAAUUGAACUCGCUGUGAAGAUGCAGUGUACCCGCGGCAAGACGGAAAGACCCCGUGAACCUUUACUAUAGCUUGACACUGAACAUUGAGCCUUGAUGUGUAGGAUAGGUGGGAGGCUUUGAAGCGUGGACGCCAGUCUGCGUGGAGCCAACCUUGAAAUACCACCCUUUAAUGUUUGAUGUUCUAACGUUGGCCCCUGACCGGGGUUGCGGACAGUGUCUGGUGGGUAGUUUGACUGGGGCGGUCUCCUCCCAAAGCGUAACGGAGGAGCACGAAGGUUAGCUAAUCCUGGUCGGACAUCAGGAGGUUAGUGCAAUGGCAUAAGCUAGCUUGACUGCGAGCGUGACGGCGCGAGCAGGUGCGAAAGCAGGUCAUAGUGAUCCGGUGGUUCUGAAUGGAAGGGCCAUCGCUCAACGGAUAAAAGGUACUCCGGGGAUAACAGGCUGAUACCGCCCAAGAGUUCAUAUCGACGGCGGUGUUUGGCACCUCGAUGUCGGCUCAUCACAUCCUGGGGCUGAAGUAGGUCCCAAGGGUAUGGCUGUUCGCCAUUUAAAGUGGUACGCGAGCUGGGUUUAGAACGUCGUGAGACAGUUCGGUCCCUAUCUGCCGUGGGCGCUGGAGAAUUGAGGGGGGCUGCUCCUAGUACGAGAGGACCGGAGUGGACGCAUCACUGGUGUUCGGGUUGUCAUGCCAAUGGCACUGCCCGGUAGCUAAAUGCGGAAGAGAUAAGUGCUGAAAGCAUCUAAGCACGAAACUUGCCCCGAGAUGAGUUCUCCCUGAGACUUUAAGUCUCCUGAAGGAACGUUAAAGACGAUGACGUUGAUAGGCCGGGUGUGUAAGCGCAGCGAUGCGUUGAGCUAACCGGUACUAAUGAACCGUGAGGCUUAACCUU
rnacentral:rRNA from 1 species